rnacentral:rRNA from 1 species
AGCGAACGCUGGCGGCAGGCUCAACACAUGCAAGUCGAACGCCCCGCAAGGGGAGUGGCAGACGGGUGAGUAACACGUGGGAACGUACCCUUUGGUUCGGAAUAACUUGGGGAAACUCAAGCUAAUACCGGAUAAGCCCUUAUGGGGAAAGGUUUACUGCCGAAGGAUCGGCCCGCGUCUGAUUAGCUAGUUGGUGAGGUAAUGGCUCACCAAGGCGACGAUCAGUAGCUGGUCUGAGAGGAUGAUCAGCCACACUGGGACUGAGACACGGCCCAGACGCCGACGGGAGGCAGCAGUGGGGAAUAUUGGACAAUGGGGGCAACCUUGAUCCAGCCAUGCCGCGUGAGUGAUGAAGGCCUUAGGGUUGUAAAGCUCUUUUACCCGGGACGAUAAUGACUGUACCGGGAGAAUAAGCCCCGGCUAACUUCGUGCCAGCCGCCGCAGUAA